rnacentral:rRNA from 1 species
GACAGAGGAUGCAAGCGUUAUCCGGAAUGAUUGGGCGUAAAGCGUCUGUAGGUGGCUUUUUAAGUCCGCCGUCAAAUCCCAGGGCUCAACCCUGGACAGGCGGUGGAAACUACCAAGCUGGAGUACGGUAGGGGCAGAGGGAAUUUCCGGUGGAGCGGUGAAAUGCGUAGAGAUCGGGAGGAACACCUGUGGCGAAGGCGGCCCCCUGGGCCGGCCCCUGACACUGAGAGCGCGAAGGCGUGGGGACGCGAACGGGAUUAAGAAACCCGGG